ACUCCUACGGGAGGCAGCAGUGGGGAAUCUUCGGCAAUGGGCGCAAGCCUGACCGAGCCAUGCCGCGUGAGCGAUGAAGGCCUUAGGGUUGUAAAGCUCUUUCGCCAGGGAUGAUAAUGACAGUACCUGGUAAAGAAACCCCGGCUAACUCCGUGCCAGCAGCCGCCGCGGUAAU
rnacentral:rRNA from 1 species